rnacentral:rRNA from 4 species
CGAGUCUUAAUUGGGCGUUAAGUUGCAGGGUAUAGACCCGAAACCCGGUGAUCUAGCCAUGGGCAGGUUGAAGGUUGGGUAACACUAACUGGAGGACCGAACCGACUAAUGUUGAAAAAUUAGCGGAUGACCUGUGGCUGGGGGUGAAAGGCCAAUCAAACCGGGAGAUAGCUGGUUCUCCCCGAAAGCUAUUUAGGUAGCGCCUCGUGAAUUCAUCUCCGGGGGUAGAGCACUGUUUCGGCUAGGGGGCCAUCCCGGCUUACCAACCCGAUGCAAACUGCGAAUACCGGAGAAUGUUAUCACGGGAGACACACGGCGGGUGCUAACGUCCGUCGUGAAGAGGGAAACAACCCAGACCGCCAGCUAAGGUCCCAAAGUCAUGGUUAAGUGGGAAACGAUGUGGGAAGGCCCAGACAGCCAGGAUGUUGGCUUAGAAGCAGCCAUCAUUUAAAGAAAGCGUAAUAGCUCACUGGUCGAGUCGGCCUGCGCGGAAGAUGUAACGGGGCUAAACCAUGCACCGAAGCUGCGGCAGCGAACGUAUCACCCAAGACAACUUUACGGAGUUGACGAUUGACGGAGCGAAGCGACGUCAAAGCGUUCAUUAAAGUCGAGUUGGCUUAGGGAUACGUUCGUUGGGUAGGGGAGCGUUCUGUAAGCCUGUGAAGGUGUGUCGUGAGGCAUGCUGGAGGUAUCAGAAGUGCGAAUGCUGACAUAAGUAACGAUAAAGCGGGUGAAAAGCCCGCUCGCCGGAAGACCAAGGGUUCCUGUCCAACGUUAAUCGGGGCAGGGUGAGUCGACCCCUAAGGCGAGGCCGAAAGGCGUAGUCGAUGGGAAACGGGUUAAUAUUCCCGUACUUGGUGUUACUGCGAAGGGGGGACGGAGAAGGCUAUGUUGGCCGGGCGACGGUUGUCCCGGUUUAAGCGUGUAGGUGUGUGUUCCAGGUAAAUCCGGUUCACUUUAACACUGAGGCGUGACGACGAGGCACUACGGUGCUGAAGCAACAAAUGCCCUGCUUCCAGGAAAA